UAAAUCAGAGUUUUUACAUUAACAAUCGAAUAACGUGGGAUGAUAACAUAAUAAUGUAUGAUGACGGUCCAUUAUUGGUAUACAUAAAAUAGUUGAUUUAGAUGACACCGAAUUGGGAUGUACAUCAACCUCAUGUCAUUGAUGAAAUGAUGGCUUGUAUCAGCAUUAAUCACAAUGGAACUUGGAAAACAGAUUAUUGUGGAGAAUAUAAAAUUCCGGUGUGUUCUAGCAAAGAUUCGACCUACACAACUAGCAGAAGCACUGCUCGAAAAGCAGGAAUGGGAGUUGGGAUAUUUAUUGCAAUAGCUGCAAUUGUGGGAAUUUCAGUUGGAUUAUUUAUAUUUCUUCGG